rnacentral:rRNA from 1 species
GUCUAUGGCCAUACCACCCUGAACACGCCUGAUCUCGUCCGAUCUGGGAAGCUAAGCAGGGUCGGGCCUGGUUAGUACUUGGAUGGGAGAAAAGACAGUUGCCUGUUCAAGUACACAGGCAGCAAAGGGCA